UUACAUUGUCUGGUUUCCUUAAACCAGGGAUGAGAAACUUCCUUACCUUGACAGUUUUGUUGAUCUAAUUAUCAUCAGCGGUAGCCAUCAUGGCCAGUGAUCAUGGGAGUUGUAGUCCAACACUAUCUGGAGGGUCACAGGCUUUCUCAUCCCUGCCUUAUACCAGAGUUGACCACAGUUAAUUUAAAAUGGAAGGAAAAGUCUCUGGUUUUCUCCUAGUGGCUGUGCCAAGGAGAUGCUAAAUGUUCAAAGGCACAAACUAAAGACCUAUCUCUACUCAUCUGCACCUGGUACAAAUAUAGACCAGCUUGUUUUACAUUCACUUUGGAAUGCAAAACAGUUACUUUAAAAUUCUUAUGAAAGUGACGAGGCUGAUUGCAUAAGGCACAGCGUGGUUAAGGUUUUCAUGAGCUAUCUAGCCUUGCUCACAAAAUUGUGCCUUAAUCCUCCCUGCCUAUGUUCCUCAACUGUGCUUUCCAGAGCAGGGAAUGGUGAUGGUUAUGCGAUAUUAUCACAGAGAAUGUGGAGAAUGUUCAUUAUGAAAAAUCUUACAAUAGUUUAUGACGGUGCAUCAUUUAUGAGCCACUUUUCACAUUUGAACCUUUAUCAGUAGAGACUAGUAUGCUAACAUGUUACUCCUGGUAGAAAACAGACAGAUUUAUUGUAGUCACACACAGCAAAAAUCCGCCUACAGAAUAUGUGCAUGAGUGUGCAACAUGCGUUAAAGGCCACAUAGAGAUUUCAUUGAACAUCUAUUACUCAUGCAAAAUGAAAUUCUUUUUGAAUGUGACUAAUCUGUACUGCGGAUGACAAGCAAAAUUGAGGGAGAUGCUAAAUGUCCAAAAAUGAAAAGAGUGCUUUAUUUUAUUGCUGGUGAGAAAACAUGGCUUUGGGGCAUAAAGAGAAGUUACUCGCUUAAAAACAAAACCCAACACCUCACUGAGUGGCCCGUUUGCACAACACCCCAGUUGCACACUUUUCUCUAAUACAUACAGUAGGUCCACAACUUAUGUGGGGGUUACGUUCUGGGGAUCAUAAAAAGGUAAAACCAAAAUUGUGUACAAUCAAAACCCAUUGGGUUCAAUGGUGGAUGGGAUUCCCAAAGUCAUUUCCCCUGGAACCCUGUCCCCUUUUGAAUAUUUUUGUCGCAUGUGCAAAAUCUAAAUGUACGCAAAUUGCAGGCUUACUGUACUAAUAAUCCAGACUUCCCUAACCUUCUGCCCUCCAGGUGUUUUGAAUUACCAUCAUCCCCCAGGAAGUACAGCUGGUCCAAUACAUUUGGUGAGCACCAGGUUGGGUUGGGCUGUUAUAAUGUAUUGGCUUACAAAUCAUGGUUAAUCUUAUCCAUACCGACCAGGCUGGUUUUUUACCUAAUAGGCAAAUAAAAGACAACAUAAGACAUACAAUAAAUAUCAUUGAGUACUUAGAAUGCAAAAACGAAAUCCCUGCAUCUUUACUGUUUAUUGAUGCCGAAAAGGCAUUCGAUAACGUAUCCUGGCGUUUUCUUAUAAAAUGUUUGGAAAUGACAGGGAUAGAGGGCACAUUCCUGGAAGGAAUAAAAGCAAUUUACUCACAGCAAAGUGCUAAACUAAUUAUUAAUAAUAACUUAACAGAACCCUUUGAAAUCUCGAAGGGUACUAGGCAGGGGUGCCCUCUGUCACCUCUUUCUGUUUAUUAUGAUGUUAGAGAUAAUUACAAAUAAGAUAAGAAAAACUUCAGAGAUACGCGGAAUAAAAAUAGGAGUGAAAGAAUACAAAUUGAAAGCUUAUGCUGACGACCUUAUGUUGUCUUUGGAGGAUCCAGAAGAGAGUGUCAGUAAGGUGUUAGAUCUGUUAGAAGAAUUUGAAAACUAUCUGGUUUUAAAUUAAACAGAACAAAAACUAAAAUGUUGAUUAAAAAUGUAGAAGAGAAGGUAAAAAUCACCUUGAAUCUCAGACUGGAAUUAAAGUAACCAAAAAGUAAAAUACCUUGGAAUCUGGUUAACGACAAAGAACAUUAAUUUGAUGGAAGACAAUUAUACAAACCGCAUGGAAAGAAAUAAGGAAGGACUUAGAUACCUGGAAUAGAAUAAAGUUAUCCUGGUCGGGGAGAAUGGCGGCAAUAAAAAUGAGUCUAUUACCGAAACUGCUAUUCUUAUUUCAGAAUAUACCAAUAAUCAGGGGAACAUCAAUAUUCAAGGGCUGGCAGAAAAUACUUUCUAAAUUCAUCUGGCAAGGAAAAGGCCGAGAAUUAGAUUCAAAUUACUCACAGACCAAAGAGAUAGAGGAGGAUUCGCAGUCCCAAAUUUAAAGUUAUAUUAUGAAGCCUCAUGCCUCUGUUGGGUCAAGGAUUGGAUUAUUAUAAAAAUAAAGAUCUGCUAGAUUUAGAAGGAUUUGAUUUAAGAUUCGGUUGGCACGCUUACCUCUGGCGUAAUAAGGGAAAGUUCCAUAAAGGAUUUUCUGACCAUAUCUUCAGUGGGCCAGUACUGGAGGUGUGGAAAGAAAUAAAAAUUAUUGGAACAGAAUACCCUUUGGUGGCUUUCGCCAAUCGAUAUCCUGACAAUAAAAACAAAUAUCGAAGGAGAAAGAUGGACCUACGAAGAUUUAUUAGUGAAAACAGAGACCGGUUGGAGGAUUAGGCCAUAUGAAGAAAUAAAGAACAAAAUGACAGGUUGGAUCCAAUUUCAUCAAAUCAACUCUAUCUGGACCGAGGAUAAAAAAAAAUGGGAUAAGUGAGAAAAAAUCUAGAUUCCAGAUUGAAAUAUUAGAAAGUAAAACAAAACUCCUAUCGAAAAUGUAUAGCCUGUUGCUCGAAUGGGACACCAAAGAUGAAGAAGUAAAGGAGGUAAUGGUGAGAUGGGCAAUGGACUUUGGGUAUAACAUAGAGUUUGAUAAAUGGCAGGCACUAUGGAAUAAAGGUAUGAGAUUCUCGGCAUGCACAACACUCAGGGAAAAUAUGUACAAAAUGAUGUACAGGUGGUACGUAACGCCCGUAAAACUGGGAAAAAUAUAUAAAACUGGUCAUAAAUUAUGCUGGAAGUGCAAGAUUAAGGAGGGCGAUUUUUAUCAUAUGUGGUGGUUGUGCGAGCCUAUUAGAAAAUUUUGGGAAUCUAUUUACAAUGAACUAAAAAAAAUCUUUAAAUAUACCUUUAUAAAGAGACCUGAAGCCUUUUUGCUGGGGAUAAUUGGAGAGGAAAUCAAAAAGGAAGAUCAAACACUCUUUUCAGUACGUGACAGUGGCCGCCAGAACUCUAAUAGCGCAGAAUUGGAAGACACCAAGAAUCCCAACCAUAAAUGAAUGGCAAUCGAAACUACUCGACUAUCUAGAAUUGGCAAAAAUGACACAGAAAAUAAGAAAUCAAAAAGACACAAAGUUUAAUAAAGAUUGGAAUAAAUUCAUGGCAUACAUGGAAACAGAGGUAAAAAAAAACUAAAAAAACACAGUAGGUGCGAUAUAACACUUGUGAUGUAAAGAAUUUUUUUUUGAGGAAAAGAAACUGCAGAUAGAAAAUUUUAUAACACAUUCCGAAACCGAGAUGAAGGGAAGUCAGUCAGUGUUGUGUGUUAAGUAGUUAAUGUAGUUAAUUUGUUGUUGUCUUAUGUCAGGAGUAUGUAUAUGUAUGUAUAUGUUUUUUUUGGUGUGAAUGUGUUGUGUUUGUCUUUUUGUUUGUAUGGUGUUAU